rnacentral:rRNA from 1 species
UACGUAGGGCGCAAGCGUUGUCCGGAAUUAUUGGGCGUAAAGAGCUCGUAGGCGGUUUGUCGCGUCUGUCGUGAAAGCUUGGGGCUUAACCCCAAGUCUGCGGUGGAUACGGGCAGACUAGAGGCAGGUAGGGGAGAACGGAAUUCCCGGUGUAGCGGUGAAAUGCGCAGAUAUCGGGAGGAACACCGGUGGCGAAGGCGGUUCUCUGGGCCUGUACUGACGCUGAGGAGCGAAAGCGUGGGGAGCGAACGGG